rnacentral:lncRNA from 1 species
CUUGGGAAACGGCUAACUAUAGUUCAGCCUCUUGGGAAACACUUUUGGGGAACAGCUAGGGAAUUACUGACUUAGCUUUAGCGGUUAAUGUACACCCAUAUCUCCUACUAAUGUUUCAAAGUUGACCAAUAAAUUGAUAUUUUCAAGUUUAUUUGGGUAAGGCAAAAAUGGCUGUCAUUUUACAGAUUCUUCAAGGGCUGAUUGCUUCUUAAUUCUGUCAGAAGAGGAAUGGCAUACAUGGAAGCCUAAGUAUAGACAGACAAUAACUCUGUUAUAUCUAGUGUCCAGUCAGAAAUCGCAAUGGCUUUUUUCCUCAAUAAGAUUGAGUUACUAACUGUACAUGUGCAACGCCAUGCCUCAUAGCGCACAAUCUUGUGUAGUUUUCAAUGUAUAUGAGGAAUGAUAAGGACCCGUGGUGGCAUGAGGCUGCGGAGGGGAGUACGGCUCAUGAUAACCAUAACGGAGCAAAUGAAAUGGCAUCAAACACAUGGAAAUCAAGUGUUUGAUCCCAUUCCCUCCAUUGCGCUCCAGCAAUUACAACGAGCCUGUCCUCCCUCAUUAAGGUGCCACCAACGUCCUGUGGUUUGGUUACUACAUCGAGGCCAAAAAUAAAUUAAAAAAUGAUUUCUAACCCUCUCAGACAUACAAUGAAUACAAGAUGAUUAUUUUUAGCGUAGAACCCCCCCCCCCCCAUCUCAGACAAAAAAUAAAAAAUAAAAAUCACUAAACCAGACAAUCGUGAUAGACAACAGCGCAGUAUCAUUUUACCUCAGGGCACACAAUCACAACACCACCAGGCAAUACAUUCAGGUGCCUCUUUUUCCAACUAGGGAGAGGCCUCCUUACAGGCUACCUUGAAUGGUGGUCUUCACAGGGAAGGGAGCAUCAGCAGAGACACUUUCAAGAGAGCUUUUCACAUAGUUCAAAAUACUCAACAAAAACACACCUAAAAACUAAACGACGCAAAAUGCAUCAUACUGGCUGUAUUUCGAAAGUUAUACAUCUUGAAAACUUGAUUGCUGACAUGCAAAACAUUUUAGGACUAUAUCAACAAUAGACUAAGGACCCUUAGCAGUGAGAAUUAGAAUGCCUAAUGUAAAUAUCAUGGGAUUUGGCCUUUUCAACUAUUUUUGGAGGGAAUUCUAGGCCCUUUGGGGUAAGUUCAAAAUCUUGAUGGAACAUCAAAGUACAAAAAUCCUUUAAGAUUGGUUGUCUUAACAAAACCUAAGUGAUUUUGUUUUUAAUGACCUCUGAAUUGCAGAGUUCCAUCUUUGGCCUGACCUCUUGGCAUUGGAUUGGUUGAAACCCUGCUCAGCAGAGGUAUUAAAAAGGAUUAGCAAGAAAUUCCCCAGAAGUGACAGAAAACUAAAAUGACCCCAACAUGAACCCAAACGACAACAUCCACAGUAUUGCAAAGAAAUGCAUAUGACAAAACGCAUUAUUUGAGAGUUCCCGAUGCAUAGGACAAUCAAUUAAGACAUUUCACAACCUCCCCCUCAAGACAAAAUGGCUCACAAAGGACUUGGUCUCAGCAGCCGUCUCCAGACAGAGAGAGCGGGGGCCAUAUCAGCCUGAUAGGACCCCGACAGUGUGUCAAUGUACGGAAUGUCAACUCUCAUUUCUGGCGUCAACGAUUUAAGGAUCCUAUGAUGGAAACGCUGGAAUCCCAGUUCAAUUCACCAUCGGAUGUGCAAAGGCCGAAAAUAAAGGGAAUAUUGGGGAACAUGUUCGUUUGCUGAUUAGAUCAGUCAUUCUCUAUGGUCCAAAAAGUCCAGGGCAUAAGAUUAUUUAUAGUGUCAAGGCACAUUUGGUUACAGCAUCCACCACAGUGGCAAAUUGGUUGUCAAGGCUGUUCAGGUUUUAAUUGGUUUGACGAGUAAUUUUUUUCCCCACGUCCACAGUGAUUUUGGUGUAUAAUUGAUCCUUCUCCACUUUCACCACUUUGUACGACAGGGUUUUUAUGCCAUCUUUGUUCAUGGUCUCCUUGGUGUGGGCGAUGCGGUCGAACCUGUAAAGAAAAAACACAGCUCAACCACAAUUCAAUGACAUGGUUUAAGAACCAUGUCUUUUUUUAUUUGGUUAAGGUGUAGCCUAUGGCAAACAUCUCCUCUGGAUUUCACAAAAAUCAUUGCUUGUUAUACACUACCUGAUUAAACGCUACUCAAGAAAUCUAACCACGACAAUCAAACAAAUCAAAGUGCUACUGAAAAGUAAUCCGCUAUACAGUCUAGCUAACUGCCGCCGCUGAUCAAUAGAUAAUCAAUAGCCCUGAAGGAUCAGUUUGGCCUAGUGUGAUAAUGACCACAUUUAUUGUCAUGGAUGUUGAGGCUUCUACUGCACGUCAAUGUUUGCCCAGGCUUCUAUUGCACGUCAAUGUUUGCCCAGGCUUCUAUUGCACGUCAAUGCCUUCCGAGGUUUUUAUUGCAGUGUUAAGUUUGCAUCUGUACAGAGAAGAAUGGCCGAGCUGAC